rnacentral:sRNA from 1 species
UCUCUCUUCUCUUUUUUUU